rnacentral:tRNA from 1 species
GCCUUCGUGGUGUAAUGGUAGCACACUCGCUGUGUAAUCGAGAGGUCCAGGGUUCGAGUCCUGUCGAGGGUA